UACGUAGGUGGCAAGCGUUGUCCGGAAUUAUUGGGCGUAAAGCGCGCGCAGGCGGUCUCUUAAGUCUGAUGUGAAAGCCCCCGGCUCAACCGGGGAGGGUCAUUGGAAACUGGGAGACUUGAGGACAGAAGAGGAGAGUGGAAUUCCAAGUGUAGCGGUGAAAUGCGUAGAUAUUUGGAGGAACACCAGUGGCGAAGGCGGCUCUCUGGUCUGUUACUGACGCUGAGGCGCGAAAGCGUGGGGAGCAAACAGGAUUAGAUACCCGCGUAGUCC
rnacentral:rRNA from 1 species